CCUACGGGGGGCAGCAGUAGGGAAUAUUGCUCAAUGGGGGAAACCCUGAAGCAGCAACGCCGCGUGGAGGAUGAAGGUUUUCGGAUUGUAAACUCCUUUUGUUAGAGAAGAUAAUGACGGUAUCUAACGAAUAAGCACCGGCUAACUCCGUGCCACCAGCCGCGGUAAUACGGAGGGUGCAGGCGUUACUCGGAAUCACUGGGCGUAAAGAGCGCGUAGGCGGGAUAGCAAGUCAGAUGUGAAAUCCUAUGGCUUAACCAUAGAACUGCAUUUGAAACUGGUAUUCUAGAGUAUGGGAGAGGUAGGUGGAAUGCUUGGUGUAGGGGUAAAAUGCGUAGAGAUCAAGAGGAAUACUCAUUGCGAAGGCGACCUGCUAGAACAUAACUGACGCUGAGGCGCGAAAGCGUGGGGAGCAAACAGGAUUAGAUACCCGGGUAGUC
rnacentral:rRNA from 1 species